GGUGGAAAGUCGCUGCUGGACAUGUAUGAUGAAAUUCUGGAGGAAAACUUGAUCAUGGAACAGCACGCAGGCCUGACGAGCCGCACAAGUGUGCAGGUGCAUGGCUAUUUGAGUGAGGCCCCCAUCCCCAGAAAUGAGAGCCCACUGAAGUAUUGGAAAAGCAACUUGUCUCGCUUUCCUGCCCUGGCCAAAGCAGCAUGCAAGUACCUUUCAGCUCCAUGUACAAGUGUGGACAGCGAACGUCUCUUCUCUGCUGCAUCACACAUUGUUGAUGAAAAAAGAAACAGGAUCCAGUGUGAGAAAGCAGAAAUGCUUCUCUUUGUCAAAAAAAACCUGCCUUUGCUGAUGAAGGAGGCCUAGACUUUAACCUACAGUGUCAUGUGGAAACCCUGUUUCAAUGUUUGGGACAUUAAUUUGAGUACAUUGUGGCUGCUUUAAGUUGGUAAAUGUACACAGACUACCAUGUCUUUUGAGUUAGUUAUGUCACAGUUCUAAUAUUUUGAUUUAGCAUUUUUAUAGAUAGGACUUGAAAUUGACUUGCACUGAUUUGCACCUGUAUAGUGUUUUUUAUGUUUGCUUGGUGGAAACAUUGUUUCAGUGUUGGGACAUUUACUUGAAAAUUACAGUGCAAGUUGGAACUGACAGUCAGGACAUGUUUUUGAUAUUUUUGAUUUAGCCUUUUCACAGAUUUGAGUUGAAAUGCAGUGGAGCUUAAAACUUGUUUUGCAAUUUAAUAAAUGCCUGGUUGCCAUGAAUACUGGUAAGUUUGUUGAGGUAACUUUUUCAGGAUUUUAUUUUGAUUUAUGAUCAUUUUUGUAAUUUAUGAUCCAGACAUUCUCACAGGAGUUUUGUGAGUUGAGGGGUUUAAUUACACACUUGCUACAAGUUGUGAGGGUUGCUAAAAAGUAACACUGUUGGUUACUUGUGUUUUAUGGUAGCCCUGUAACCUUCUUAUUUAGAAGUGAAACACCUUUUGAAAAUAAAGGAAGACAUUCAAGAAUUCUGUUUGCAUGAUUUUAA